rnacentral:rRNA from 1 species
GUCUUUUUGAUUAUAAUUUAAAGUCUAACCUGCCCAAUGAGUAUUUAAAUGGCCGCGGUAAUUUGACCGUGCAAAGGUAGCAUAAUCAUUAGUUUUUUAAUUGAAAGCUGGAAUGAACGGUUGGACGAGAAAAUAACUGUCUCAAUUUAAUUGGAUAUAGAAUUUUAUUUAUAAGUAAAAAAGCUUAUAUGAUUUUAAAAGACGAGAAGACCCUAUAGAGUUUUAUAUUUUAUUAUAUUGAUUAUUUUUAGUAUGUUUAAAUUUUUUAUAUAAUAAAAUAUUUUGCUGGGGCAGCAGAAAAAUUUAGUGAACUUUUUUUAUUAUAAUAACAUUGAUUUAUGGUUUAAUGAUCCAUUUUUUAUGAUUACAAGAUUAAAUUACCUUAGGGAUAACAGCGUAAUUUUUUUUUAGAGUUCUUAUCGAAAAAAGAGUUUGCGACCUCGAUGUUGGAUUAAAAUUAACUUUUGGUGUAGGGGCUAAAAGGUUAGGUCUGUUCGACCUUUAAAAUUUUACA